AAAAGUUGCUAGAGGUUUGUUCUUUUUCAUGUCUUUUUCAAAAUGUUCACUUUCUUUUCUUUCUUCUUUUUUAUAAAUCAUAUCGCAGAUCCCGAUAUUCAAAUACUACCAAGCUAGAGUACGGUAGGGGCAGAGGGAAUUUCUGGUGGAGCGGUGAAAUGCAUAGAGAUCGGAAAGAACACCAACGGCGAAAGCACUCUGCUGGGCCGACACUGACACUGAGAGACGAAAGCUAGGGGAGCGAAUGGGAUUAGAUACCCCAGUAGUCCUAGCCGCAAACAAUGGAUACUAGGCGCUGUGCGUAUUUAGCGAUUUUGGGAAUAUUAAAUAUCUU
rnacentral:ncRNA from 1 species